CUGUCGUCAGCUCGUGUCGUGAGAUGUUGGGUUAAGUCCCGCAACGAGCGCAACCCUGCAUUCAGUUGCCAUCGGGUAAUGCCGGGCACUCUGGAAGGACUGCCAUCGACAAGAUGGAGGAAGGUGGGGAUGACGUCAAGUCAUCAUGGCCCUUAUGUCCAGGGCGACACACGUGCUACAAUGGCCGGCACAACGGGAAGCGAGUUCGCGAGGACGAGCGGAUCCCUCAAAGCCGGUCGCAGUUCGGAUUGAAGUCUGCAACUCGACUUCAUGAAGCUGGAAUCGCUAGUAAUCGUGGACCAGCCAAGCCGCGGUGAAUACGUUCCCGGGCCUU
rnacentral:rRNA from 1 species